ACCCCGUGAAUGACGCUAGCAUUCUUAUCUCGAUGACGCGUGACACUUCAUUUAUCGUAUAAAUUAUCCGAGAGUGAGCGUACUCUCAUCACAGUCGUCUAUCAUACUUCCAACGAACCACGAAUGAGGUAGAGAAAAGGAAACUAAACAUCGAGGCCUUACUUUGGCAUUUCGAAAGAUAUUCUAAUAUAACUGGGAAGACAGUUAUAUUUCUACAAUCUAGUCAUUCAAACCAGUAUAAGCCUACAUAAUAGCAAAGAUGCUGAUUGGCGGUGCAGUUAGUUACGUAGCUGGAAAGCAGGCGGUCCGUACGGUUUAUUGGCGAACCGCAAACAACGGUCGUCUAUUAAAAACUGCUAAAACUUGCAUGUUCCAAGGACCACCUAAACCAGCACCAUCUUCGACUUCUGCGACAAUCCCUGACCGCUCUCGUAUGGAUCUGAUUCCGCGAGUUAUUUUCAACUCGCAAAAUUAAAUUAAUCGAACGAGCAACUUGUACAUAAUUUCUUUAUACAUGUAAUAUUUAACUAACUUAAUUUAAUCCAAACUCGCGUUAUUGUACAAUACUUAACGAAUAUAAUGAAAUGGUAGCACAUGUGACAAUUGAAUAAAUAAAUUAUUUAUUUAUAUAUUAAA